UACGGAGGGGGCGAGCGUUAUUCGGAAUUAUUGGGCGUAAAGGGCGCGUAGGCGGCUGUACAAGUCAAAGGUGAAAUCCCUCGGCUCAACUGAGGAACUGCCUUUGAAACUGUACGGCUUGAGGCCGGGAGGGGGUAGCGGAAUUCCCAGUGUAGCGGUGAAAUGCGUAGAGAUCGGGAGGAACACCAGUGGCGAAGGCGGCCGGCUGGGGGUGACCUGACGCUGAGGCGCGAAAGCGUGGGGAGCGAACCGG
rnacentral:rRNA from 1 species